AGUCCGGUUGAUAAUCAGUUUUGCAUUGCUGUGUCGGCUUUUACCAACCUUUCCUCAUAUUUCUCUCUUUCGGACGUUCUUCAUCCUCCGACCCCACCCGAAAGUCUGAGGGUGGUGGUUCUUCAAUCCCCGGAAGGGUCUUUCGUUCAUCAUCGAUCUUCCAUCAUCGAUCCACAGGUGGAAGAAUUAAUUUUUCUUUGCUUCCUCUCCAUUACCUUGGGGGUUUCCUUCCCGCUGGGGUGACCCUCGGACUCAGCCGAACGAAAAUAGUUGGGUGGAGGAUGGAGACCGAGAGGACUUUCACCGACUGAAGGACGUGUCGAUGCCGAAGCAGAGGGAGCUCGUCACCGAGCAAGCUCUGUACGAUGCCGGCCUAAGUUCGAUUCUCCGUUUAGGUACAUCUCGGUUUGUCGGUCGUCCUUUGCCUUUUCCAUCCAUCUUUGGACUUGUGCUGACCCUUUGUUAAAAUUGUAGAGAUACCGUCGAGAGUGAGGCUGACCGAUGCCAACAUUCGACAACA
rnacentral:lncRNA from 1 species